rnacentral:rRNA from 1 species
AUAAUUAAUUCUAUUAACUUAUAUUAACCCUUAAUCCUUAUUAAAUGACUCUAUUAAUUCAUAGAAGCCACUAUGUCUAAACUAGUAACAAGAAUAUGAAAUUCUCCUCAAUGUAAACUUAAGCCACAAUGGACAUACCAACGGCAAUUAAAGUUAAUUAAUCCACUACAACAACCCCCCCCCCCCCCCAAAAAAACUUGUAUUAAAAAACGUUAAUCUAACACAAGAACACUUCAGGAAAGAUUAAAAGGAAGGGAAGGAACUCGGCAAAUCUUAACCCCGCCUGUUUACCAAAAACAUCGCCUCUUGAUAACCCAUAAGAGGUCCAGCCUGCCCAAUGAUUAUUUAAAUGGCCGCGGUACCCUAACCGUGCAAAGGUAGCACAAUAACUUGUCCUUUAAUUGUGGACUAGCAUGAAUGGCAUCACGAGGGUUAUACUGUCUCCCCCACCCAAUCAGUGAAACUAACCUCCCCGUGAAAAGGCGGGGAGUAUGUUAUAAGACGAGAAGACCCCAUGGAGCUUUAGACUACGAACACUCCUAGUUAAAAUUCCAUUAAAACUCUAAACCCCCUGACUCUAAGUCUUUGGUUGGGGUGACCAGGGAGCACAACAAAACCUCCCUGCCGAACAAAUAAAAUUUUAAUCCUAGAACUACACUUCUAAGAAUCAGUAAACUGACGCCUACUGAUCCAAAACUUGAUCAACGAACCAAGUUACCCUGGGGAUAACAGCGCUAUCUACCUUAAGAGUUCAUAUCGACAGGUAGGUUUACGACCUCGAUGUUGGAUCAGGGUACCCCUGUGGUGCAGCCGCUACAUACG